rnacentral:lncRNA from 1 species
AUUAAAGUAAGUAAUUUUUUUCUCGCAGAUUCUUGAUGCGUACUUUAUCCCAACGUGAUUAAAUCUUGUCCCCACCCUAAAAUAUAGGAAUUUCGUGAUUUGAAGUGCCGUGUGUAGAGUUUUAACAAAAUCAAAAAAGGAGGAACAAAAUAAAAUAUUUUACACACAAUUUCUACUUGAGUAAUAUUUUGAAAAUAUGUAUUCGCCAAAAAGUCUAUGAAUUUUUUAAGAAGAUGGAAAAAUGUGAAAAUAAUGUGUCAGAAUAGGUUUUUUAAGAUUAAAACCAUAACUUUUUUAUUAACAGCAUUUGGAUUGCAUUUCGCAAAAAGGAACCAAGAGCAUUGCAAUGUCGCUAAGAUUGUGCAACUUUGUUUGCCUUGCAAAUAUGACCUGAUUAUCUAAACAAAUUUAUCUUCAAUCCCAAUUUACUAUGACUUCAAGACUAAAAUUAAAUUUGUAAAUUUAAUUUUUUCCACGAUUUCGGUAUUUACAUUGAAAGAAUGUAAGUUACACAAUCUUAGCAACAUUGGAAUGCUCAUGGUUCCAUUUUGCAAAAUGCAAUCAAUUUCUGAUGGAAGUUCUUGACCAUAGUUCAUUCUAAAAUUUUAACAAAGGUUCAUUGUGAAUGGAUUGGAACUUCCGUUUUCAAGCCUUAUCACUCCACUAGUGUCAUGUUUUUCGUAACUUCUGCCAUUCUUACUCUAUUUCAAACUGCCUCCUCCAGGUGACAGUCUUGAGUGCCCCGCGUUCCGAGCAGCCUCCAAGUGUUCGCUGCACUCUUCAUUCUGUUAUCGGAAUCGGAGGAAUUCAGAUGCAAGGUAUUGGUGUUGCGGAGGACCGCGUGAAACCGUGUGACAAACCUGGAAAGCACCGCUGCGAGUGUAAAGAUGAACUUGUAGAUGAAGCCCCACGCUCGCGGCGAAGAAGAAAACUGUCAGACUUGCUCACCCUCAAUGGCAACCUCAGCUCAAUGAAGAACCUUUCAAUAGCUGAAGAUGCCAAUAAAUUUAAAGAGUUAUCUUCACCAGACGAUAUUUUGCGAAAACGGGCUCUCUGGGGUCUCAAUAUGGACGAGAAAUUGUUGUCGGAUGAUUUUUCCAAAUGGUCUUUUGUCAACUUGUCCAAGGCUUCUCUGUCAAAUGUCGCAGAUUCAUUUUCUUGAAGCAGAGUGAACCUAAUGAUGUUCUGAGUUUUCAGCUGAGUUCUCAAGAAAUUGAAGAAGUUUGACAGUUUUAAGGUGCGUACUAAUUUUACAUCACAAAAUUUUGAAUUUUUUUUAUUUCCUCAAGUACAGUCGUAUCAUUGACAAGUCUAAAAGAAGAAUCAGUGCAAAUAGCUUUUGAAAUCUUAAUCAAGCUUUGUUCACUUCGAACUGUCUGAAGUUGACCAGGUUUUUACACAUUAAUAUUCACUAACGGAAAUCUAGCCUAUCUUUUUGACAAGAUUUUUGCUGAUGCAUCUUCUUUGU